rnacentral:rRNA from 1 species
AUACGGGGGGUGCAAGCGUUGUUCGGAAUCAUUGGGCGUAAAGAGCGUGUAGGCGGCUUGAUAAGUCAGAUGUGAAAGCCCUGGGCUUAACCCAGGAAGUGCAUUUGAUACUGUCUUGCUUGAGUAAGGGAGAGGAAAGCGGAAUUCCUGGUGUAGAGGUGAAAUUCGUAGAUAUCAGGAGGAACACCGGUGGCGAAGGCGGCUUUCUGGCCCUAUACUGACGCUGAGACGCGAGAGCGUGGGUAGCAAACAGGAUUAGAUACCCUGGUAGUCCACGCCGUAAACGAUGUUCACUAGGUGUUGGGGGUAUUAACCCCCUCAGUGCCGCAGCUAACGCAUUAAGUGAACCGCCUGGGAAGUACGGUCGCAAGACUAAA